GAUUGGCAGACUGGGGUGGUGGUCCCCCUGUUCAAAAAGGGGGACCGGAAGAUGUGCUCCAAUUAUAGAGGGUUCAGGGUGUUCCAGAGAUGUUCCAGGCACGUCCCACCGGGAGGAGGCCCCGGGGAAGACCCAGGACACGCUGGAGGGGCUAUGUUUCUCGGCUGGCCUGGGAACGCCUUGGGAUUCCCCCGGAGGAGCUGGAGGAAGUGGCUGGGGAGAGGGAAGUCUAUGCUUCCCUUCUUAAGCUACUACCCCUGCGUCCCGACCCCGGAUAAAGCGGAAGAAAAUGGAUGGAUGGAUGAAUGGAAUAAAAGCCAAUUGCUGAGGGAACAACACACUUGAAGCAGAAGGAGCAAAGGCACCAGAGGAGGAGCUGUUCUGGGACGAUUUACAGGAGCAUGUAAUUACGCAAGUCUUCACCCUCCGCUCACUGGAGGACGCAAGGAGGACAGCGAGAGGAGCAGCGCCUCCAAUUAUCAUUUAUCACUGCACCAUGCAAUCUCAUAAAGGUUCCAGAUUAAUGUAAUUAGAACGCAAACAGGCUUGAAGCUUGCAUUUGAAUGAAUAUUUCUGCUCAAAGUGGAACCGUGGUGUGCAGCGGCUGCCUUGUGUGCAUGAAAAAGACUUUCAAUCAGUUCCACAAGCAGAGAGGGACAGAAUUUAAACAGGAGGAGGCAGACCUGGCUGCUGAUUAGAGUUAUUGAGCAGGAAGUGAAGAAAAAGUCUGAUUAGUAAAUGUAAAAUAAUCUAAAUACCGUUCCAACGAACUGCUAGUUAAGGUUUAGCUCAUGCUUUGCUAAUGGUUAGGUAACUAAGGGUCAAUUUGUUUGUCUAGAAAGUCUGGUUUGUUUUGGGAAGAGUGAAUGCACAAUUAAGCCUUUCGCAAUAAGCAAAAUAUCAAUUAAUUGCACGGUAAAUUAAAACAAGCUCUAUAAUUUC